UUACUAUGUAUGACACCAAACGAAUGAUUCAAGAGAACAAAAUUCAUAGAUUUUACUUUGACAAAGUUAAGAACUUUUGAUCUUCAAAAGUCAUAAUUAAGAAAUGAAAGGAUAAGCCAUAGACUGGGAGAAAAUAUUUGCAAAUGACAUAUCAGAUAAAGGGCUUAUAUCAAGAAUACAUAAAGAAGCUGGGAGCGGUGGUCUGUGCCUGUGGUGCCAGCUACUUGGGAGGCUGAAGAGGAGGAUUGCUUGAGCCCAGAAGUUCAAGACCAGCCUGAUCAACGUGGUGAAACCCUGCCUCUACUAACAAUACAAAAUGAGCCAGGCGUGGU
rnacentral:lncRNA from 10 species